CUGAGUCCCUCACCAUCUUCCAGUCCCACCUCAAGACCCAUCUCUUCACCUCUGCCUAUCCAUAGUCUACCUGC